CAUAGCUCAAUGGCAGAGCAUUCGACUGUUAAUCGAAGGGUUAUUGGUUCGAAUCCAAUUG
rnacentral:tRNA from 1 species